UCUCACUAUUCUGUUUUUCCCC
rnacentral:miRNA from 15 species